AUUGAACGCUGGCGGCAGGCCUAACACAUGCAAGUCGAGCGGAUGAAGGGAGCUUGCUCCUGGAUUCAGCGGCGGACGGGUGAGUAAUGCCUAGGAAUCUGCCUGGUAGUGGGGGAUAACGUCCGGAAACGGGCGCUAAUACCGCAUACGUCCUGAGGGAGAAAGUGGGGGAUCUUCGGACCUCACGCUAUCAGAUGAGCCUAGGUCGGAUUAGCUAGUUGGUGGGGUAAAGGCCUACCAAGGCGACGAUCCGUAACUGGUCUGAGAGGAUGAUCAGUCACGCGGGAGGUGAGGGACGGUCGAGAGGCCUACGGGAGGCAGCAGUGGGGAAUGUUGGACAAUGGGCGAAAGCCUGAUCCAGCGAUGCCGCGUGUGUGAAGAAGGUCUUCGGAUUGUAAAGCACUUUAAGUUGGGAGGAAGGGCAGUAAGUUAAUACCUUGCUGUUUUGACGUUACCAACAGAAUAAGCACCGGCUAGCUUCGUG
rnacentral:rRNA from 1 species